UCAAAGUGAACACGGCUCAAUUGUAUGAGAAAGGGGGCACCUGACCCACCCAAAGAGUUAUAUGUGUUUUAGUAGAAACUUCUAAACACAAACAUCAUCUGCAUAGUUUGCACUCCAUAGUACUAACAAGAUUGACUUGUUGAAGGCUGGAGCAGAGCACCUGAAUCUGGCUUAGAAUGCACGUUCCCUCUGAGCACUGGUGGGCUAAUCCUUCCACAAGUGCAAUCACCUGAACAUAUAUUUGUUCAUGCUAUUAAAGAUAUAAAAUAAGAACACAACUGGCAAGGAUUCGAGAGCUAUAAAACCUUCUUUUUGCCAACAUACAUUACUUGAAAGGAAAGCAAUGGCGCUUCGGUUAUCAAGAAUGAGACGAGGAAGCGAGUAAAAAAGAAGAACAUAACCUAUCACAAAUUUAAAAAUAAUACUACAUGUUCUUUAGUGGAAACCAUUUGCACAAUGUUGGCAAAUGACUAUGAGCAAUAACAUUGAUAUGUAAAUAUCGUAUAAUUCAGCCCAACUAAAAGGCACUGUCUUGUAGAAGUAUAUAUUGUCCAAUUAUUGGAUUAUAUGUGAUAUUGAUGGAACCACAAAUGACAGGUUGUGUGUGUGAAAUGGUCAAAAUUCAGAUUGUAUGACCAAGCAAUCUUUUUAGUACCGGUUUCUGAGCCUUAAAGAUGACACUAAUGCAGAGUACUUACUAAAGAAUUUAAAUAUUGUUGGAAGUUUGAUAUUCGGAAUUUAUACCUGUAAAAUACAGAACUACAUCAACAG
rnacentral:lncRNA from 1 species